UACAGAGGGUGCGAGCGUUGUUCGGAAUUAUUGGGCGUAAAGCGCUUGUAGGCGGCACGUCAAGUCGCGUGUGAAAUCCCCAGGCUUAACCUGGGAAGUGCGCGCGAAACUGACGAGCUUGAGUGCCGGAGAGGGUCGCGGAAUUCCCGGUGUAGAGGUGAAAUUCGUAGAUAUCGGGAAGAACACCCGUGGCGAAGGCGGCUCUCUGGGACGGUACUGACGCUGAGACGCGAAAGCGUGGGGAGCAAACAGG
rnacentral:rRNA from 1 species